rnacentral:rRNA from 1 species
UACAGAGGAUGCAAGCGUUAUCCGGAAUGAUUGGGCGUAAAGCGUCUGUAGGUGGCUUUUUAAGUCCGCCGUCAAAUCCCAGGGCUCAACUCUGGACAGGCGGUGGAAACUACCAAGCUGGAGUACGGUAGGGGCAGAGGGAAUUUCCGGUGGAGCGGUGAAAUGUGUAGGGAUCGGGAGGAACACCGGUGGCGAAGGCGGCCUUCUGGACGGUGACUGACGCUGAGGCGCGAAAGCGUGGGGAGCAAACGGG